CAACGUCGCCUCCUUGCCUGAAAACAAAACGUCCUUCCUUUCCUCUCUCUCACGAAGCACCUUCCUAGGGUUCGGCCCCGCCGCCGUUUUCUUCCACACCGUCUCCUGAGUCCUGACCGUGCGCCGCCGCUUGACCGCGCCGACUCCCACGUAUCUGCCGCUGCUCGCCCGCUCGCUGGACUAGCGCCCCUCCACAUGCCCCGCCUGUGCUAGAGAUCCGCCAGGACAUGAGCUAGCCCGACCGACCGGCACACCCAGGACCUGGCAGGGCAUCAGGGGAGCCAAGCCGGUGGAGAUCGCCGGCGCUGAGCGUCGGAGCACAGCUCGUGAAAGCCGGGAGGUAUCCGACCCAGCCCAGAUCCUGGAGUCGGCCGGUCGGCGUCGGCUAGCGGAGAUGCAGCCCAGCCACGGUCGCCGUAAUGGAACCCAGCGGUGGCCUGAACAGCUUCGGCGCAGGUUCUUUGAAUCCUUGUUUUGAUCGGUUAGGACUUUUCUACCCGUUGCUGUGCAGGUGUAUGUAGUAGAGCCGGACUAGAGAUAGUCGUGGUAUGUGAUCGAUGAAGUUAAAUCCUGCUGGUGAUACUGCACCACAGCGGCGCGGCGGCAACAGCCCAAAUUUGCACGAUCCGGCCGGACGCAGCUAUACAUGGAUGAUCUCAGGUUUACUGGUGAUGCUGAAUUAGGGGAGAGAUGCGUUGCCCCAUGCCACAGCUAAAAUUUGAAGCUGCUUACUGGAAGGAACAUGUGGUGCAUUAUGAGAACAUCAGACGACUUGCUGUUGCCACUCAGUAAGGUGCUUAUUUGGUACCAUUUCUUGCACUAUGAGAACAAAGAUGCCUUCCUACUAAAGAUGCAUUCAGCUUUUAGGCUACUGCAUUUCCUACCAUCGCUUGAAAGGCCUACCAAGCCAUCUUUGUUGUUAAACGUCUAUACAGUAAAAUUUUCCCUGGAUUACAUGCUUUUGUGGUGUUGCGCUAUUUUUCAUAAAGUAGAUGCAUGGUAGCAAAAUUUCUUUCAGACCAGACAGAUUGAAAACUAUGUACUCGUGUAUGUUCCGGGAAUGUACAAUUCCAGUAUUAAAUGUACAAAAAAAAUUAAUAGGGAUCUGGCGUAGAACCAACUUAUAUGUGACAUUUCAAAGCUUAUCUAUCGAAAUGAAGUUCUGCAUACAUGUAAGUUACCCUGCCCUACACCACAUAGUUUUUCCUUUCUAUUUACCCGAUCGGUAAUAGGAGAAGAUACUAGCAUUUUGUCAUAUUUAUCUUCAUAGGUUUCAGCGGUAAUUCACUUACUGGAACCUUGUCACCUUAUUUGUGCUAGCUGACUUGCAUGCGGUACUUGUAAGUUCUAUCCUUACUCGGAGAUGCUGCUUCAUAUCAUGCUAAUUAAUCUUCAUUUAGGAAAUACAGGUACAUUUCAUAUUACCAAAAUUUUCAGAAAAAUGCCAUACAACAUAGGUUUCUUUCUGGCAGCCACAGUGUAAUCCCUUCUGAUUUCGUGCAAAUUUCAUAUACUUUACCUUUUGUACUCUUGCAAUAUAUUGUUAUAUACACAUUUCGAGUUAAGCUUCAUUUUUUCAUUUUUGUUUAGCAGAUCCAUAAGAUGAACAUAUGCUUGUUGCUUGAGAGCUAUUGAAAUGUACUUGUAUGGUCCACCAUGGUGCAUUGAUUAAUUAACUAUAUCAGUUACAUAUGCUUGGUAAGAUAGGUAUCACCUAUCAGUUUAUUACCGAUGAAAUUCUUAGCUUCGUUUACUUACAAAUGCUUUGGAGGUGAGGGAAUGCACUUAUUUGGUUCAUGUAUGUUUUUAGUUUAUUUCUUGGUUAGCGUCAAGUUGAAUUGAUUGGUGCAAUGAAACAAUUACAAAUGCUUAGGAAGGGAAUUAUCAUCCAACGGUUUAUUAGUGAUGACAUUUCUAGCUAUUAGUCUUUCCAACAAGUUUCAUUUUGUUUAUUUCAGUUUUGAAUAUUGUUAUUUGCACAUGACUAUAUAAAAAUCUAGAACAUAACUAUUAAUUAUCCUCUUGGAAAAUAAAAUUCAUGUUAUCUUGCAAGUGAAGUUUUUCCCUUCCAUACCAUAUAUGCAACUUGAAAUAGAAGGAAGGUGAAGGAUAUAUGUUACGAAAUCCAUCUGCACCAGUGAAUGAUACCACCCAGUCGGUCAAUUUACAUGACUUAAUUCUCACAACCAAUAAAUAAAAUUUAUUUAUGCUGCAUAAACCUCCCUCUAUGAACAUUUGUGUGUAGCUACAAGCCGAUCCAACCUCAGAUUAGAAGGGCUGGUACGAGCGAGACUAUCGAAGGUAAGUGUGUCACUACUAUGCCUGCCAUUUAUUAAAGCAAAGCGACGCACAUAUAUCCAUUAUUACUGAUAUGAAAAUACAAUCAGCUGGGUUAGAGUAGUGUACCUCAUGGGUGGAGUUGUAUCAGAAGGCCUUAGAGCUAUCUUUAAUGAAAUUAUUAUGAAGAAAACCAUGUACUAUGUGAGCCCUUAAAGGUAUCUUGUCCAACGGCUCUCUAGAUUAAUCGCGAGAUCAUUCCCUGGUUAUUCCUAGAAGCCAAAGAUGGAUGCAAGUGUUUCAUGGAACUUCCCGCGAGUUACAUUGUUCUUAAACUGCAUGUGCACUUUCGUACUUAACAUAUCAGUUUUCCAUUGUAACUAUCCCAUGUGUGCAUCUAACUUUUGUUUGUAAUAAGCCCUGUUACCUCUUUGAAGUUCAGAGUAAAAAAAAUUUGUAUUAAUAUCCCUUGAUAAAAGAGCAUUAUUGAUGGGCAUUAUUUUUCUUGAAUUUCAUGCUGUUAUGACCAAAUUAAUAAAAUUCACACUCUGAUACUUGAUAAAUGAGCACCCGCAACUAUUUUCUAUCAAAUCACAUGCAAGAAUGAUUAUUUAUGUUGUAGUCAUAGUACUUGUGUUAGGAGAGUGUCAAGAAAUACUUUUAUUUUCUAAUGACAACUAGAAUCAGAUGCAAAGGUCUUUAUGUGCUGGCUACUAUGAUGUAUGCUAUAAAGAUAUUUGCUUAGACAAACAAUUUAUGUUUUCCCUAAUUUGUCGUUCAUGUAUGUACAUGUGUAUGAUAUCUAUAGGCUCCAGUCACCAAAUAAAGUCUGUUUCUCUUUUAGACUAUAGUUACCAGGCUUGCAUUUUAGCAUCAUAUACAGUUUGUUUGCAAAGUUGCUACUUUUAUAUCGAAAGAAGAUAUAUAUUGGAAGCUUGUCACCUGAAACUGAUGCAAAUGCUUGGUGGUGUUUAUUCUUUCCAUCAUGAAUAAAUGCUAGGAAGACCACCCCUGUGAGCAACAUCCGGCGGCCAGUCAAUUCCUCCCUUCCCUACAACACUCUUGACCCUGGUAGUGUGAUGUUAUAUGCAAAACUCGCAUCUUCUUCCUAGCUUGAAGGGUUGUCCCAGCAGAUGAACUUGGGAUUUUUGCUACCUGUGAAUAAAACUCCAACUUUAUGAGGAGAUUUUGUAGUUGGCUUCCUCCUGUAGGAUCAUAGAUAUGAUCAAAAUCUAUUGAUGACAUAGUGGCCAAUUUUCUUGCUUUGAUCAAUAAUGCAAUACUGAAGAAGCAGUCCUGGAAUGAGCAUCCUGAAUAAACAAUUCUGAUGUAAUGUUCAGUAAUUUUUCUAGUGUUGUUACAUGUAAGUUCUUAUAAUACUGGUUGUGGUGUAUUCUACCAGGUUAAGUGCGAAAGCAACAAUGUCAUCUAGAUCUUUGAUUUUAUCUGGAUAGUUUGGUUCUUGGAUGAAUAGAAUGUGGACUAUCUCGAUUUUAUUAGGUCCAAGUUAUUUCCAUUCGGAUUUUUCAUAGCACAGAGACUUUGACCAAUACUGUAAUAUGAAUCAAUACAUGGCUUGCAGGUUGCAUAUCAAUUUUUUUAUUCCUUUGUUCCUAGGUAAGGAACUGUGGGAAGAGCAUAGCUACUAUCAUUGCCAAGAGGCCAUGAUCUGGAUCUGCCUCAAGAAGCCAUAUCAAGCCCCGCCAGAAGAUGAGUGUUGUUGAGCAUGCUGGAAGGUGUGCGUGGAGAGGUUCGCAGGGGCGUU